rnacentral:rRNA from 1 species
AAUGAACGCUGGCGGCGUGCCUAACACAUGCAAGUCGGAUGUGCCGCAAGGUGCAUGGCGGACGGGUGAGUAACGCGUGGGGAACCUACCUUUUCGUGGGGAAUAACGAUCCGAAAGGAUUGGUAAUACCGCAUGAGACCGAUGGCUGGGAUGCUGUCGGUGAAAGCCGGGGAUCGAAAGACCUGGCGCGAGAAGAGGGUCCUGCGUCUGAUUAGCUAGUUGGUGGGGUAAUGGCCUACCAAGGCGACGAUCAGGAGCCGGCCUGAGAGGGUGAUCGGCCAAACUGGAACUGAGACACGGUCCAGACUCCUACGGGAGGCAGCAGUGGGGAAUUUUGCGCAAUGGGCGAAAGCCUGACGCAGCAACGCCGCGUGGGUGAUGAAGGUCUUCGGAUUGUAAAACCCUGUCGUCGGGGACGAAGGUGGGGGCGUUAAUAGCGCCUUUGCUUGACGGUACCCGGAGAGGAAGCCCCGGCUAACUCUGUGCCAGCCGCCGCGGUAACAC